rnacentral:miRNA from 15 species
CAGUCACUGUUUGCUGAUGCAUCAUCUUCGAGAUUCACCAACUCUCACCGGCGGCGAACUGCUCUUCGCCAUCAGAGCUCGAAUCGGUCGGAAGCCGGAGACCAGUCCUGGAAUUCGAGAGAUGUGAGAAUCUUGAUGAUGCUGCAUCGGCAAAUGAUGGCUA